GGCCGCCACAAUUUUCAGCCCAUGCCUUUACGAAGACUUCACGCGUGCCCUAACCCCCUCCAGGCGCUCCCCUCCCUUCUCCCCGCGUGCCCUAAUCUCCUUGCCACCCCCCUCCACUUGAUAAGUGCAUCCCCGUGCCUCCCAGGUGGCGGCAUUCUCGGCGUCCCUAUCUCUGUCACUCACAUCGGCGGUGUCAUCGCACCUGUCCCCUCACCUGCUGCCUCCAAGUGCCCCUUUGCCGUCUCCAUGUGUGCCCUAACCCCCUCCCUAUCCUCCUCACGGGCCAACCUGAGCAUCAUCUACAUGGUGGGCACCAUGGUUACCUCGCCCUCAAGCUCAUGCUGGUGGAUUGGUUGCGGGAGCGGUGGAGCUCUGGACGAUGGGCCGAUCUGAUGGACCUAUGACUAGAGCGCAUGGUUGAUUUGCCUUCAUAAUAUUUUUUUUUCCUGCUUGAUGUCCUGCUACUGUUUGAUGAAAUGCCUUAGAAUUUGUUAGAUGUUCAAUUCUCAUCUAGAGGUUAAUGGGGAUGGUGGACGUCUGCUUGAUAUCCUUAGUCAGGUUGCAGCAUGCUGGAUGGUGUCGUAAGCAAGAUCCAGGCAUCCUAUCUAUAGUAACAUAUGCAUUAAGGUUCUGAACUGAUUAACAAGCA